CUGGCUCCACCCACUAAACCAAAGAAUGACAGUCAACAGUCUUGCAAUUUUUCAUACAUGGAGUAACCUAACUCUGAGUCUAGGUCUCUAAUCAAGUGACAAUUAUUCAUGUUCUCACUUCACACCCUUUUAAAAAGCCAGCCAGAUGACAUUAACCUGACUUCAACAACUGACAAGUUUCACAACUACAGAAGAAGUCCUAUUGUUCUGGCUCAGCGAACUCAGGGCAAGGCCCUUUCCUCCUCCAGAUCUCUGAAGACGUCCUUGUAGAAGAAGGGCCGGGCUUGGCAAGAUCGUCUGUCACAUCCCUUCCAGCCCUAAAAUCCUGAGUUGAGAUUUCACACAUGAGGGUAAAUGGUUAAUCCAUGAGACACAUUUCAUAAACUUUUAGGGUAUAAUAUAAUAAAGAGUAUAUAACUUCCUUUUUUGAUGAUUACUUUAAAAAAUUAGUUACUUGAUUGGUAACCCAGAGAGGUUACCAUUUUUGAAGUAUGGUGUACAGGAAAAUAAUUGUAGAAUCAUAUCAUAAUCAAAGUAUAGAAAUAAAAAUAGCUAACAUUGAGUUUUUACCAUGUGUCCGAUGCAGUUCUGUUUCAAAAUACCAUAUUUAUAUUUAUACCAAUUUUAUGUGAAGUCUCAUCAUUGGUGCCAUUAUACUGAUGAAUAAACUGAAGCUCAGACCCGUUGCCAACAUAGGCUGUAGAAGAAAAGUCGGGAUUUAGUCUCUGCCAUUCUGAAUCCACUUAACCGUCGAGCUUAUAGUCUAAAUGCUGGGAAGGUGUCAACCUCUAUGCCCCUGAGCUACCAUUUGUCACCAUACAAAAGUAUGAAUUUAAAAUAAAGGCACCUUAAAGAUCCUUCCGACUUUAAAAUUAUGUAAUUGUAAUUUAAAGGGAAAAUUCACUUAGUAGAAACUAAUUUCUUUUUCCUAUUGGUGGGAAAGAACAUUUUGGAAUUUAAAUUCCAUGAGGUCAGAGAAUUUUGUCUGCUGUAUCCC
rnacentral:lncRNA from 1 species